UACGUAGGGGGCUAGCGUUGUCCGGAUUUAUUGGGCGUAAAGAGCGUGUAGGCGGCCAGGUAGGUCUGGUGUGAAAACUCGAGGCUUAACCUCGAGAUGUCAUCGGAAACCAUCUGGCUAGAGUCCGGAAGAGGAGAGUGGAAUUCCUGGUGUAGCGGUGAAAUGCGCGAGAUAUCGAGGAGGAACACCUAUGGCGAAGGCAGCUCGCUGGGACGGUACUGACGCUGGAGGCGACGAAGGCGUGGGAGC
rnacentral:rRNA from 1 species